rnacentral:rRNA from 1 species
GACGAACGCUGGCGGCGUGCUUAACACAUGCCAGUCGAACGCAAAGGCCCUGCUUUUGUGGGGUGCUCGAGUGGCGAACGGGUGAGUAACACAUGAGUAACCUGCCCUUGACUUUGGGAUAACUUCAGGAAACUGGGGCCAAUACCGGAUAGGGGCUCCUGCUGCCUGGUGGUGGUUGGUAAGUUUCGGGGGUAGGGGAUGGACUCGUGGUUUAUCAGCUUGUUGGUGGGGUAGUGGCUUACCACGCCUUUGACGGGUAGCCGGCCUGAGAGGGUGACCGGCCACAUGGCGACUGAGAUACGGCCCGGACUCCUACGGGAGGCAGCAGUGUGGAAUAUUGCACGAUGGGCGGACGCCGGAUGCAGCAACGCCGCGUGCGGGAUGAAGGCCUUCGGGUUGUAGACCGAUUUCGACUGUGACGAAGCGUGAGUGACGGUAAUGUGUAAAGAAGCACCGGCUAACUACGUG